AUUGUAUGCUGGAUGUAUUUAGACACAAUUCCAAGAACAAGCGCUGGAUGGGGAAGUUAUCUGGUUUGCAGAUAUUUGUACAAAAGGCUGUUAAGACUACACAGUCAGUUCCCACUGCAGGAAAACAGGAAGACUUUCCUUUUUAUUAUUCUCUGCCCAUAGCAUUUUCCAGCUCACACAUUUAACUUCUCACAGCAUGACCGCAAACACGUACAGAUACAUCCCCACGAGAAAUCAGCCUUGACGUCUCGGGACAUCUGGAUUCAAUCAGAAGAAGCACAUGUGAUACAAACCGUAGGAGGGGAUCUGGGACUUAGGAGCGGGUGGAAUGAAAUGCCAUGGCAGCAAGGAAGCACAAGGCAGUGAUGGCCUGCAGGUCACAUGACCUGCCACCCCUCCCCCUCCAGAGAGGACCGGCCAGCUUGGUGGCUUCCCUUCCCUCCUUCCUCUGUGUGCUUCCUCCCAAAAGCUGAGCACAGCUGGAGACCUUCCCCAGAAAUGACCUGCCUGCUUGUCAGUCAGGUAUGCAGUUAGUGAUUUCGUAACAGACACACUGGUCCCAUCUGGCUUUCCUGCUGGGCCAGGCAGAGCUGUGUAACACCUGUACCCAUGUGGGAUGACAUCAGGCAGCAAAGUAGUUUGCCUGGUUGAUAAUUAUUUUUAUAUGUAAUAAUUCACCCAAUAGUGAAGGAACUUCACUGCUAAUGUCUAAUAGGCAUACACCUGCUCUGGGAGAGCACUUAUCAGAAGGGCUCUAAUAAUAACACUGUCUUAGGUUACAGGGCACUAAAUCACCAUAGUUUCAAGUAUACACCUAAAAUUCCAAACCGCCUCCAAGAGCGAAAGAGGUACUACUUCUGCUUUGCUAAUUUACUGGGGCUUCUGCCCCUCCCUGGAGUAUGAGCCUUCAUCCAUGGUGAAUCCCACUUACUAACCAAAACUAACCACCUUAUGUUUGGUGGUGGGACGCGGGGGAUCGGAAUAGACUCUGUCCUUCACGGCCCUGUCUUCUUUCUGCACAAGGCAUGCACAGCCCCUGACCCCUCCCCCAAGUCUUAAUGGAUACACACAAGGUAUGCUAGGAGGCUAUUUACAUACUGACCUUUAAACAUGAUUUUCAUUGUUCUUCCUGAACAUUCACUUUCCCCAUACUGCCUUCAGAAAAGCAAUCCCUGGUCGAGAAGGCAUCCAUGUAAUGAUAAGCAUUUUCCAAAAGCAGAGUCUGUUAGGAGCAUUUAGAAACAAACAUCUCACCUGCAACAGUGCACUCAAAAAUCCAACUACGUAUUUCAAGCUGUUAAUCUAAGUCACUAGAAGCGAGUACAGCCACAUCAGCAGAUUCUUUGCUCUCUUCUUGUCUUUACCCACAAAUCCCAACGCACGAAGAACCGGUCCACCACGAUUAUUUGGGUUUUAGCUGUACACAGAAGACCUGUGUACAAGCCUAAUGGAAGGAUCCCAGCCCUGUUGAGCGUCUGCCAGGCUGUGCCACGGAAGGGCUGCCACGCCCUCUAGUGGUAAAACAGUGGCACCACAAUUGUGAUGUAUCAGCGUCCGCCACGGCAACUCUCAAUUAGACUGCUCUCAACUCUCACUCUCCCUGGGUUGCUGGACUGAGGUCAAUGUCCCUAACAGCUGAAAUAGCCAGCAUUUUUCCCGCUGCACAGUGGCUGGGUAAGGGCAUAAGUCUGUCUGGGUUAUCCAUGACCUUUCUUUGGCCCAUAAUAAUGAAAGCAGGCCUCUGUGUAAUUUAUUCUCACUAGACUUCUUUUGGUCAAACCCCUAGGGUAUCUCAGACAUGCCAGGUCUGAUGAAAUGUUUCCAUAACACACAGAGGUGAGACCACGUGGUGGAAAUUUUUACUUUGUUUAUCAUGCGGAAAUUCCCCGGCCAGGGAUCAAACCCAUGCCACAGCAGUGACCCAAGCCACAGCAGUGACAACACUGGAUCCUUAACCAGGGAGUUCCUAUGGUGAGAUUUUAGAGCGGCUUUCGGCAGGUGGGCUUCGGAGGGGCUGAGGUACCUACAUCAUCCUCAAACCUCAGCCUUCCCUGCUCAGCAGCUGUACACAGAUGCUCUGAGAACGGCCCCCACCUAAGAGGAGACCUGAGUUCAUCCGCAGGGAGAGCCCAGGCCAAACCUGGAUGAAACGCAGCAACUCUAAGCCACUGUGAACGGGUGCUGUUCACUCCAUCAGCUCAAAUAUUCCUCCCACCUCUCCCUGCUCGUCUUCGGUGACUUUACAUAUAGAAUCUGCAGAACUGCUGGGCAGAAAGCUUACCAUGCUCUUAGGCCCACACCCUCACAAGGGAGUUAGUAGAAAAAAAGAUUUGUUCCAGUGAAACCUGUGACCCUCAGUGUCCACAUCUGUGCCUGGGGCCUGAGUCCCUUCCAGCUCGCGUGGCCUUUGCUAACCUGCUGCGGAGAAGGAGUCACUGACUCUAAGUCACUUCCAAGACAACUGGCACUCACAGUAUUUUCAUGUGCAAAUGCCUAUUGACGAUGCAGUUAAUGAGGCCCUUAUGGUACAGGGGAGGCUGGAGCAAUGAAGCCGCUGUCCCACCACCAGCUGCCGUGUUAACACACACUCGUCAUCUCCGCCCCUUUCUAUGUCAAGAGUGGUGGAGAGUCUCAAUAGCUGGAGACGUUUGCAUCACGGGCAGGCGCCUAGUGAGAGGGAGGCCAGGGGCUCCCCCCGGCACGCACAUGGGAGCCCUGGGCCGGACAAAGAAAUGCUUUUUGUUCACCUGAAAGAAACCGCUACUGAGAGAAGGAGUAAGACUUGAACAGCGUUUGCCUUCUCUGCAAACUUGGCCUGUCUCUCAAGGCUUGAUGGACUUUGGGUCUCCCAUGAAAAGGCUCAUGGGUCUGUUGUCACUGAAACACAAUAAGAGCAGCUGAAGAUCCACAGGUAGUCAUACACUCGCACAACAGGCAAAUGGGAUACAGGUUACACCGCAGAGGAGGGGGGUCUACACUGCAGGAGGAGGGGGGCGCUUUGAGAUUCGAG
ensembl:lncRNA